AGGGUUGUUUGUGGCUUCCUGCGCUCUUUUGAUAAGUGCAUCCAUGCUUCAGGUGGUUCGGCUGCGGGCCUGUCGUUGAUAAGGUUUUGAUUCUUUUUUCUGGUUAAAAUUUCGAUGGUCUCUUGGGUUGUCGCCGUUCUUGGGUUGAAAACCGGCUUGAUUGCUUGUGCCUUGUCCCGCUCGAUUGUGAUGUUCUCAUUGAUUUCUUGUUCAGCUGGCGCUGUCGCAGUCUUGCCGGUCCUGGCAUCCCUCUUGUGCUCUUCGGGCCUCUGGUGUGGAGUCCUGUUCGUCACUCCUGCAUGUGUUGCUUCUGCGCUUCUGGCUGGAUGAUUGAUUGGUAUUGUA
rnacentral:lncRNA from 1 species